UUGGAAUGUGAAUCUUUCCUAGUUUGUCAAGCAUUCUUCAAUUUUCAAAUGUUGUGUUGGGCUUUAGACUUCAAAGUUUCAAAUAUAUUUUGUGAAGGUAGUUUUUGUGCUGAUUAUUUGAUUAACAUAAGAAUAAUGAGUAGGAUUUUGUUUAAUUUGAUAUAUAUAUUUCACCUACAUCUUUGUGUUUGGAAAUUUUUUGUAAUAGAUACAACCUCCC
rnacentral:lncRNA from 1 species